CCUACGGGUGGCAGCAGUGGGGAAUAUUGGGCAAUGGGCGCAAGCCUGACCCAGCAACGCCGCGUGAAGGAAGAAGGCUUUCGGGUUGUAAACUUCUUUUAAGGGGGAAGAGCAGAAGACGGUACCCCUUGAAUAAGCCACGGCUAACUACGUGCCAGCAGCCGCGGUAAUACGUAGGUGGCAAGCGUUGUCCGGAUUUACUGGGUGUAAAGGGCGUGCAGCCGGAGAGACAAGUCAGAUGUGAAAUCCACGGGCUCAACCCGUGAACUGCAUUUGAAACUGUUUCCCUUGAGUGUCGGUGCGGUAAUCGGAAUUCCUGGUGUAGCGGUGAAAUGCGUAGAUAUAAGGAAGAACACCAGUGGCGAAGGCGGAUUACUGGACGAUAACUGACGGUGAGGCGCGAAAGCGUGGGGGGCAAACAGGAUUAGAUACCCGGGUAGUC
rnacentral:rRNA from 1 species